rnacentral:lncRNA from 1 species
GCUCAAGUAGCCAAAGCAAACCAAACAUUGGAACCAUUAUGAAAGUUGGUAUUUAUAUGGCAUCUUUAUACAUAAUCAGACAUAUGUAGCUUAUUUAAAUAGUAUGGAGGAGAUACUUAGAUGGCAUAUUUAUUUAUCCAUCAUGAUAACAUCAUGGUUCAGGCAUACCAUGCAAGACUUAGAUGGCAUCUUUAUACAUAAUUGCCUCAGGCAUAUCCAGCCUGGUAAUAGAAUGGGCAGCUCGAUAGAAGAAAAACAGCAACUUACAUCGAAACAAAGCUAUGAAGGUAGUUUGCGAUAGCUCAUUUACACUGCCUUUAUAAAGCAAACUACAUAGCUAGCUAUAUCAUAUGUAUAUGCUUGUCCUAUUGGCUUCUGGUUUAUGUGCGUUGAUAGUUGGAUCUGUUUAAGAUUGUUUAGUGUCAGCAAUGAAUUCAUAUAACUGAAAAUAGGAAAGCGUUUAUUAACUGACCUUAUGAAAGGUUAUGCACACUGGCUCACAGUGUGCCUUCUUUGCCUUCAAAAACAAAGACACACAUGUCACUUGAUUAAACCUUGCUGCCUAGACAAAGUUAGUCCAAUUAACCCGAACUUGCAUCUGAACACAUCCAAAUGUGAUUUUGAUGGCCAUGUGUUUGACAAAUGGGUUUAGAAACUCUUUGAGAUUAUGUAUCGUGUAUGGGAAAGAGCAUGAACAUGUUAGAGAAGAUAUAAACCAAGGAACUGAUUAAUAGUAUCGACAUAGAAAAUAAGUAAUUUGAAAGUGGACAGAUAAAAAAAUCAUAAGGCGCUAUUAUGCUUCAAAAGUAAUUGAUGUUAUGAUUUUUAAUGCCAACAAUCUAUGUAUCAGAAGAACUACAAUUUUGUUUAAUAACAAAGCAUACAUGAAGAGCCUCCCUUAUCUCAACAAAUCAAGAAAUAACUGUUGCACCAUAAACUAAUCAGGUGCUUUUUCACCUCUCUGUUGUCCCAAGAAUAUUUCUCUCAACUAAAUACAUGGGAAAAAGUGCAUAUAAGAAACAGUAUGGACCUACAGAAUCGGUUAGAUAAGAACGGCUUGAUAAGAAUGCAAUGCAGCAAACAUAGAACGACAACUCCAAUAAGUAAAAUUGAAUUUGAUACUCUCUCUUAUUUGAUUUCAGUUAAUCAUAAACUUUGUACCUAGCAUCAAAGAGCUUAUAGUUCGAAAGAGUUAAGCCUACUGGCCAUAAAGGUAUAGGCAAAGACUGGAACAACUAAUUUAAACUCUUUCCUACGGGGAUUGCACGACACAUUUGUUCAUUACUUCAUAAUAACUGAAACAAAGGAUGGUCGAUGUCAUGGAUAAAUGAAAUAAUUACAUAAAAAUGAAUGCUAGUGAAGGAGAAAGAAAAUAGGAUGAACUCAUCGGAAAUAGAGGAGGCCCAGCCUGAUGCACCCCUACAAGGCUUCACCCCAUGGCGUCUCUUCUGGUUGUGCCUAGACUACCUGAAGCUGGUGACUUACCACGGCUAGGUAGGCUCUAGCAAGACCAUGGCGGCCGGUGUUGCCGCUCAGGUAAAAACUAACCUCCUUCAUGUUUGAUGAACCCGUAGAAGUUUUUGUGAGAUCAUUAGCUCGAUCUCCACCGUUAGUUGUGAGCCCCGCUGCUGCAAAAUCUGAAAUUAAAUAUAUCACAACAUUUUCAAAUGAAGGAUGAGGGCUGAAGACCUUGAACGAAAUGUGAAAACCCAAAGUCAGAUAGAUUCUAACUGGACACCUGUUUAUAAAUACUCACUCUGUCCUAAAAUAAGUGUCGUUGAGUACUAAUUUUGACACUUAUCUCAUGCAUUUGUGCGUUCCCAAAAUCAAAGGAGAAAUGAAGCAGGAAGUACGUAAAGUCCGAGUUGGUCGAGUAUCCAUUGACGACCGCUACAUGGGAAGAAUUAAACUUUGUUGCUAGUUAGUAUGUACAACAGACAGUCUAUUCAUGCUAACAACGUAUGCUAUUAGACUCUUAAAUCAUACUGCAUGUUUCUAUUUUCUGAAUUAGAAUAGUGACCUCGGUAUAGCAGAGAACAAACACGCGUAUAGCUAGCUUAAUUACCUGACAAAGCUAUUAGUAAUGUAGUAGCAAAAUAUUGAGCUCCUUCUGAUUCUUGCUCUGUUUCCACUUGAGCAAUCCCUCUCUGCCUCUCAAAUCUUUGAUGCUGAGUGCUGAGUUUAAUUUAAGAAAAAAGAACUUGUAAGAUAAAUAAGUGUCAAUGAUCCCUGAGAGCAUAUAUAUAUAUAGCUACAUUCUACCUAUAGACCCACCGCCCUGAUUCCAUUAGAUUAUUGCAUAUUUUUAACCUGGUGUGGAAAACUGCUUUGCAUUGACGUUACCAUGCAACAGACCUGUGCACCAUCAACAAUGGCAUAAUUCAGUCAUGUAGAUGUGCAGAUGAUCACUAAAACAUGAAAAAGAAAAGAUAGAAAAAUGCAUUGAAAGUUUGGACUUGAAAUAUAGAAGAUUACCCACUUGCUGUACUGAAUGCAAGCAUAGUCAAGUAUAACUUGUUUAAUCUAUUUAGGGUUUUAGUUUCACGUACCGUAGCAUUGCUGCAAAUUUGAGGCAACAUAGCAGAUUAACUUCAGAAUGAAAUGGACCAGCUAUUAUAUUAUUGUAAGCUAAAUGUAUAAAUGUAAAAUCAUAUUUAGUUGCAAAAGUAAGUUAAAUGUUCACACAGAGGAUAGCUAAUGUCGCCCAUGGCAUAAAAACACAAUAUAACCGAAACAAAAUAAAGGGCAUCCGUUUCCAUGCAUGUAAGUGAAUCCAUCUCCAAGGGAUCAGAUCAGAGCACCCCAAACCAAACCAAUCUACUCCCUCCGUUCCUAAAUAUAGGUCUUUGAAGAGCACUGGUAGAAAAAGGGCCUUUUGUCCCGGUUCGUAAGGGCCUUCUGUCCCGGUUUUGAAAUCGGGACUAAAAGGUCGUUACUAAUGCCCUCGGCCUUUAGUCCCGGUUCUUACACCAACCGGGACAUAUGGGCCUCCACGUGGCCGCUGCGGCCAGGCCAGGCAGGGGGCCUUUAGUCCCAGUUGAUGACACCAACCGGGACCAAAAGACAUCCACACAUCAGCACCUGACUGAAGCUGAGGUUUUUUUUUUGAAAGGGGCUGGUUUAGGGGUUAAUUUAGGUUGUUAUAUACACCAACCAAGGAGCAUCCAUGAUCAAGCACAAAAAGAAAUAAUUUUAUCUUUCAUCCAUGAGCAUCCAUGAGCAUGCACAAAAUUUCAUCACGCACACCACCAUCAUACUUAAAAGUGCAGUAGCAGUUCAACACUACCGUACUUAAAAGGUUUACACUAUAAAGAUUAAAGCUCCAUCAGGUUCUUAAGAUCUUCACUCCUGCUUCUUUACCUUCUCCUUCAUCAUCCUCAUGCGCUUAGAGCGGUGAAGCCCCAGGCCAGGUAACAAAGUAACAAAACUAACUGACGAUGGCAAGCUACAAUCCGGC